GGGUGCUCGAAAGAGAACCGGCGCACAGGUGCUGCAUGGCUGUCGUCAGCUCGUGUCGUGAGAUGUUGGGUUAAGUCCCGCAACGAGCGCAACCCUUGUCAUUAGUUGCUACGAAAGGGCACUCUAAUGAGACUGCCGGUGACAAACCGGAGGAAGGUGGGGAUGACGUCAAGUCCUCAUGGCCCUUAUGGGUAGGGCUUCACACGUCAUACAAUGGUACAUACAGAGGGUCGCCAACCCGCGAGGGGGAGCAAAUCCCAGAAAGUGUAUCGUAGUCCGGAUUGUAGUCUGCAACUCGACUACAUGAAGUUGGAAUCGCUAGUAAUCGCGGAUCAGCAUGUCGCGGUGAAUACGUUCCCGGGUCUUGUACACACCGCCCGUCACACCAUGGGAGCGGGUUUUACCAGAAGUAGGUAGCCUAACCGCAAGGAGGGCGCUUACCACGGUAGGAUUCGUGACUGGGGUGAAG
rnacentral:rRNA from 1 species